GAAAUGGUGCACACUCAGAGAAGCCGUCACCAGAGGACCCGUCACCAAGGGACCCGUCACCAGGGGAAGCAGAGCAGCCUCACUCCUCCGCCAUUUCCCUCUGGCAGAAGGGAAGGAACCCAGCCUGAGAAUCAAGGUGACCCACCAACAGGUACCUUCAGAAUCCAUUUAACUCCUUCCUUCUUGCACCUCCAGGAGCAGCUACAGAGUGCAAAAGGUAGUUAAGAGACAUCCAGUGGGAUUCCAGCUUGUGCUACUUAGAGCCGCUCUAGAGCAUAGACUCUGGGUCUAGGCUCAGAGUGUGGGUGUGGGUGUGGGGGCCUGGCCAGGGUCCUCGGGGACACGGAGGCCACACCCCGGCUCCUACUGCCUCCAUUGGAGAACACCCGGAAGUCCUGGCUGCUGGCCACCAUUCUGUGUUGAAAUGGAGUUUGAAAAAUGCUCAGCUUGCUGCAGUUCCAAUUCUUGUGUUACAACUGUUGCUUCAGAAAUGGGGUGAGUGUCCUUUCCUGCCCCCCUUAGUCCCCUCCCUCACCACCCCUGCUAUCAACCUACAGCCCUCCUACCUGCUCAAACCCUAAAGCCAUCAAUUCAUUUGAUGGACCCCCAAGAGCCCAUUGGUUCUCUCCCGGCGGUAGUAGAUACAUUACCUCUUUCUCUCGUUUAUUCUUACAUAUAUCCUGCCUACAGAGCUCUCUCUGCAGUGACCUGCUCUGUUGUCACUGGUGUGUUGGUGCUCCAGACCCUGCAAGUAUUUCAAAACUAAUUCUUAGGAGAUGCUUCCCUGUAGCCUGAAGGUAAAGGAAACCGUGUGGGAUUCAUCCAACGGAUGUGCCAUCAAUAGCAGGUUCCUGCCUCCUGUCUAAUGGAGUCCCGCUAUGUGUAGAAGACGUGGCGUUGCUUAGUGGCCUGUGGGGGGGGGGGCACUCUAACCACCCCAAGUCCUUUAAUAUAAGGCUGGGGAGCGAGCCUUGCCCACAGCCUAGGUGAAGCCCAGAGGCUAAGAAAAAGCUGAGAGUUCUUGUGCCUUGGGACAUCCCCUCAAGGAUAUGUCCCAGAAGGAGACAGAGCCAGGGCACUAUUGCUCAGCGUUCGCUUUCACCAGGUCAGUCUGCAGCUAUGCGCUUCCCAUCCCUUUCCUUCCCACAGCUUUGGAUAAAACCUCACUCUAUCAAGAACCAACCAGGAGCUGUAGGUGGCCUGUCAAUCCUGCAGCUGUGGGCUGCAGCAUGCCCGCCCAGUACCUCUCAGCCUCCAUGAGAGCCACCCUGACCCCGGGAGGUCAGCCUUCAAGAACCAUGACUGUUUGGCUAUUCUGGAUCCCAUGAGGCUCGACACAGCUGGAGUUCUGCUGGUCUGUAAGCAGCUGGGCUGGACCACUGGCAACUUUUCAGAACCUCUUUAAAUUCUUCCAGUGUCCUUUGAUGGCUUUAAAAUACACUUUACAUGUCUUUUGCUAACUUUGCUCCUUGAUGCUUUAUGGAUUUAGGGCGCUAUUAUAAGCGGGCUUUUUCUCUUGACAUUUUUCCCCCUGUGGAGGAUUUUCUGUUGCCAGUGUGCAGACACACAUUGGCUCUGGGAUACUGAGCUUGUGUCCUGCGAUCUAGCAGAACUCAUUAGCUCUGACUGUUUUCUAGUGGGUUCCUUGAGCCUUUUUUUUUUUUUUAAUUGAAGGCCUGGCAUUUACAAAAAGAGAUAGUUUCAUUUCUUGGUUCACAGUGCAGAGGUCUUUUAUGUUCUUUUCCUUGCCUAACUAGCCUUCCGGUUUAGUGGUGAAUGAAAGGAAUGAAAAAGACAUUCGUGCCUUGUUCCUGACCUCAUGGAAGUAUCCAGCCACGCAUAAAUAUCAUUUUCUAAGCUGAGGAAGUUCUUUCCAAAGGGGUAUGGAUUUGUAUCUUGGGUACACAAAGAACUCCCAGCACAAGAGUCAUAAGCAAUUCUAUUACCGGAGAUGGAGAAAUCCAAAUAAACGCCACUGCAAUGGAGAUAAACUCCUAGUGAAGUCAAAGAGACCUGAAUCCUCAGCCACUGGAAGCCCGAGUAUGAAUCACAAGUCCCUCUUUCUCACCCAGCGAGGCUGCCAGCAACACAAGGCAGAUAGACGGCAGAGAGCUGGGAAGAUGGCUCAAUGCAAGGCAGCAAACCAAGACUCAUCCACUACCGACCGGCGUAAAUGUGGUCCAUCAGUGACAUACUCUACAGCCACAAAAAGGGAUGGAGCGCUGGCAUGUGUUAUGCUGGGGAUUGAAAGACAAUUUAGACUCCCCAGAGACAUCCUGCUGAGUGAAAGGAGCCCACACGAUAUGACUCGUUCGCACGGAACACCCAGAAUUGGCAAACCUGUAGCAGAAAGCCAAAAACAGUGUGCAGGGCAGGGGAGGGCUUGGGGAAUGGGCUGAAAGCCAAGCAGUUUAAGGAGAUGUUCUGAAGUUGAUGGUAUUAUCUUGGAAUUCACCAAAAACAAUGAAUUAUAUCUGUAAAUGAGUGGGUUGCAGGCUUGUGAAUUAUGUCAAUAAAGCUGUAAAAGGAAAAGAAAACACCCACAUCACAUUUCCAAACCCCAAGAUCCUCAAUCUGCAUGUAUUUGAUCUUUAACAAGGUAGAAUUUUUUUUUUCAAGGAUCUCAUAAAAUGUUUCCUUUGGAA